rnacentral:misc_RNA from 1 species
GAUGAAGAACGUAGCGAAAUGCGAUAAGUAAUGUGAAUUGCAGAAUUCAGUGAAUCAUCGAGUCUUUGAACGCACAUUGCGCCCCCUGGUAUUCCGGGGGGCAUGCCUGUCCGAGCGUCAUUGCUGCCCUCAAGCACGGCUUGUGUGUUGGGCCGUCGUCCCCCUCCUAGGCGACGGGCCCGAAAGGCAGCGGCGGCACCGCGUCCGGUCCUCGAGCGUAUGGGGCUUCGUCACCCGCUCCGUAGGCCCGGCCGGCGCUUGCCGACGACCAUCAAUCUCUUUCUCCAGGUUGACCUCGGAUCAGGUAGGGAUACCCGCUGAACUUAAGCAUAUCAAUAAGCGGAGGA